rnacentral:rRNA from 1 species
UACGUAGGGUGCGAGCGUUAAUCGGAAUUACUGGGCGUAAAGCGUGCGCAGGCGGUGAUGUAAGACAGGUGUGAAAUCCCCGGGCUUAACCUGGGAAUUGCAUUUGUGACUGCCCGGCUAGAGUUUGGCAGAGGGGGGUAGAAUUCCACGUGUAGCAGUGAAAUGCGUAGAUAUGUGGAGGAAUACCGAUGGCGAAGGCAGCCCCCUGGGUCAAGACUGACGCUCAUGCACGAAAGCGUGGGGAGCAAACAGG